UGAAGACUGAGCCCCUCAGAGCGCAGUGAGCGUGAGCACAGGCGACGCUUCCUGAGUCGUCUGUGAAUGUUUCCUGGUUCUGAACAGGAGGCACAUGUACAGGUGUAGCUACAGGCGAAGAAGGCAACAAAAACUACCACCAGGUACUUACUUCUGCAGGUGGAGGCGAAGCUGGUUCUCCACCUGUACUUGUUCAUGAAGCUCCAGAAGCCUGGAGGUCUGGACGUGCCCUGAUGCCAGCCGAGUCGAGUCCAGACGUUCCCCCUCCUGGAGCGCUGCCCCACAGACGGGUCAGGACGGGGAUCAGAGGGUUAACCAGGGAGGAGCUGUGCACACCUGGAGAAACCCCUCCCACAUCUACACCUGUGUGACUCACCGGCAGGCGGAGCGACCGUGACCUCUGCGUCUCCACCAGCAGCAGCGUCUGUGGGGGGACGCACCCCUCCUGCUGCCGCAGCAUGACCGGGUCAAAGGUUACACUUCUGGACCGGCUCCUCUGGUCUACCAACACCUGAGAGAAGCUACAGUUCUGUUGUGAGCAGCAGAGUCUCACCGCUCGUCCAGAGACACUGUCGACGUACUUCUUGGGAAAAACGAGCUUGUUUCGGAUGAAUCUGUCGGCUGCGGUUCUCCGCGACUCAUCCUGCCGGCGCGCUGUGACGCAGAGCCGAGUCCGUGUACCUGCGCGAGGACCCGCACGCGCCGAUCGACCAGGACCCGCACGCGCCGAUCGACGAGGACCCGCACGCGCAGAUCGACCAGGACCCGCACGCUGAUCGACCAGGACCCGCACGCGCCGAUCGACCAGGACCCGCACCGGAUGCCCGUGAGGACGAACACGAGCUGUUCCCGUGAGCCUACCUGCCCUUUGACCUCUGCAGCAUUAAGUAAAAGGUGUAUUUAAGGGGAAUGAUGACAGCCGAGUUUGAGAGAAGAACUUAACGAGUCCACAUGUGUGAACCUUUGGUCUAUAAAGUGUUUUCUGACUAUGAAUCAUUGAGUCGCGCGCAUCUUUAGCAGCACGCUAGCGGCCUUAGCUUAACCUUCUAAAGACUCUGUGAACGCAACGACGCGUUUAGCUUUGUUUUAGUUACACUUAAGUUAAGUUAAUACCAUUAAUUCAUCCGAAAUCCAUACAGCACUAUCAAUGAAUAGCGUUACAUGAUACAACUAAUCCUAAUUAACGUCAGGGCAUUGGAACGUUAGCGGAAACCGAACGGUUCAACACUUAAUUCUACAGUUACAUCAGACAGGUAGAAAGCUCACCUUAAAUGUCCGCAACGAGGCGACAGCUCACCUGGUACUACGCGGCUCCACCGAGCAGCUGCAGCUAACGCUAGCUAGCGGCACGUCACGUGCGUUGUCUGAUACCAGCUAGCUAGCGGCACGUCACGUGCGUUGUCUGAUACCAGCUAGUUAGCGUGACGUCACGUGCGU
ensembl:lncRNA